rnacentral:misc_RNA from 1 species
GAUGAAGAACGUAGCGAAAUGCGAUAAGUAAUGUGAAUUGCAGAAUUCAGUGAAUCAUCGAAUCUUUGAACGCACAUUGCGCCCGCCAGUAUUCUGGCGGGCAUGCCUGUUCGAGCGUCAUUUCAACCAUCAAGCCCCAGGCUUGUGUUGGGGCCCUGCGGCUGCCGCAGGCCCUGAAAACCAGUGGCGGGCUCGCUGUCACACCGGGCGUAGUAGAUUUUAUCUCGCUCAGGGCGUGCUGCGGGUUCCGGCCGUUAAAAAGCCUUUUUUACCCAAGGUUGACCUCGGAUCAGGUAGGAAUACCCGCUGAACUUAAGCAUAUCAAUAAGCGGAGGA